UACUAGAGUAGCACUCGCAUAUCAAUAAGCGGAGGAAAAGAAACUAACAAGGAUUCCCCUAGUAACGGCGAGGUGAAGCGGGGAAGAGCUCAAAUUUGAAAUCUUAAAGGGUUUACCUUGACGAAUUGUAGUUUAAAGAAGUGUUUUCUGUUGAGGUUUUGGUAAAAGUUCUUUGGAAUAGGACAUCAUAGAGGGUGAGGAAUCCCGUAUUUGACCUUUACUUUCAACUUUGUGAUACACUUUCAAAGAGUCGGAUUGUUUGGGAAUGCAGUCCAAAAUGGGUGGUAAAUUUCAUCUAAAGCUAAAUAUUGGCGAGGAGACCGAUAGCGAACAAGUACCGUGAGGGAAAGAUGAAAAGAACUUUGAAAAGAGAGUUAAACAGUACGUGAAAUUGUCAAAAGGGAAGCGUUUGACACCAGUGUUGUUUUUCUGAAAAUCAAUUAAAGAACUGUUUAUGCUAAGUUGUUUAGACUUUAUCAGCUAACUGUCUAGUUUUGAGCUUUUCUUUAAUGCACUUUUCAGUUAACAAGUCAACAUCAAUUUCUUUUGCUGUAAAAAAGCUUGAGGAAGGUGGCUUGAGAUUCGUCUUAAGUGUUUAUAGCCUCUUGCCUAUGCAGUCGGAGAGAUUGAGGUCUGCAGCGUAGAUCCUUCGGGGCUAAAUGCAUUUGUGCUAAGUUAUAACAUUUUAUAGACAACUUGUUGACUAUGAUUUGUCUUGUAGCUUACUCGCUUAUGUUAUUUUACCUACGCUUAGGAUGUUGAGUAGCGACAUACGCAC
rnacentral:rRNA from 1 species